GAAACGGAUUCAGUAGUACCAAAAUACUCAUAAUGUGCAGACAGACAAAAGAACUGGAGGGAGUCGUGUUUUCAGACACAGGAAGCUUCUCACGUGCUCAGCCUGGACCUCAUCUCUCAGCCUCACACUCAGAUUUUCGGCAGCCCCCGCUAUGCACCCGAGUCUUCAGACGUCAUCCCAGAGCUCCUAGCUUGCCCGGGAGGCACAGCCAUCAGAUUCUCCUCUUGGCCACUUAUCCCAACUAAACACAUCACCACUGAGGACCUGUCCAGGGGUUUAGCUCCUGAUGAAGAGACAGAGAAAAGGUCAGAGAAAGGAAAGGUGACGCUCCAUCCAAGAUGACUACAGCGCUAUGAUUUGCAGAUGGGGAAGGUCACGGGAUGCUAGACGCAACAGAAUCUCAACAGGGACCCGAGAGAGAGAGA
rnacentral:antisense_RNA from 1 species